UUAAUGCCCAGGAGAGUGGCAGUCCACAUGGACUGUUGACUAGAGAUUUAUCGGUGUGGGAUGAGCUUGCGUCCGAUUAGCUGGUUGGCGGGGUAACGGCCCACCAAGGCGACGAUCGGUAGCCGGCCUGAGAGGGUGAUCGGCCACAUUGGGACUGAGAUACGGCCCAGACUCCUACGGGAGGCAGCAGUAGGGAAUAUUGCACAAUGGGGGAAACCCUGAUGCAGCAGCGCCACGUGUGGGAAGAAGCAUUUCGGUGUGUAAACCACUGUCGUGAGGGAAUAAUGCUUGGUCUCGGCCAAGUUGAAUGUACCUCGAAAGGAAGCACCGGCAAACUUCGUGCCAGCAGCCGCGGUAAUACGAGGGGUGCAAGCGUUGUUCGGAAUCACUGGGCGUAAAGGGAGCGCAGGCGGAGAUGCAAGCAGUCUGUAUAAUACCGGGGCCCAACCCCGGACCUGCAGACUGGACUGUUUCUCUUGGAUAGUUCAGGGGCAAGCGGAAUUCCUGGUGUAGCGGUGGAAUGCGUAGAGAUCAGGAAGAACACCGAUGGCGAAGGCAGCUUGCUGGGGACUUAUCGACGCUCAUGCUCGAAAGUGCGGGUAGCAAACAGGAUUAAAUACCCUGGUAGUCCGCACCGUAAACAAUGCAUACUGGGUGUCCGGGGCUCGCCCCGGGUACCGAAGCCAACGCGUUAUGUAUGCCGCCU
rnacentral:rRNA from 1 species